rnacentral:lncRNA from 1 species
AGAAGGCCCCACAAGGCCAGGGGAGCCCCUACUCAGACACCUGAUGCACGUCGGGCCCUACACACCCCGACACUGCCCCGUGUCCCAUUCUCUCUUGUUCUCUGGGCUCCCACAGGCCCCUGCUGCCUCCUGGGACCAGGCCCUUGCUGCCUUCAGCGUGUUUACACAGGGAAACAGCAUCCUGUCGAUUCUGAUACAUUUACAAAGUGCUGAUCCAGAGCAAUGGUGAUCGUCCCCCCCAGCCCUUUUUUUAGAAAGCCCAACGGUGGCCUUUAAUCCUCCCAGCAAGAUGGGCUUCAUUAGCCCUUUCCCCAGACUGAGAACCUGAGGGUAAGACGAGGGGAGGGUAUCGGUUCCUCAGGCCAUCGCAAAUUGCCACAAACUGGGUGGCUGAAAACAACAGAAAUUCAUCCUCUCCCAGUUCUGGAGGCCAGAAGUCCAAGAUCAAGGUGUCAGCAGGGCCGUGCUCCCUCGAAGGCUGUGUGCGAGGAUUUGUUCCAUGGCUUUCCCUUAGCUUCUGGUGUUACCCGCAAUCCUUGGCAUUUCUUGAGUUGCAUCUCUUAACUCUCUGCCUCCAUCGUCACGUGGCCUUCUCCCUGAGUGUCCCUUCUCCUUCUUUGCAAGGACACCAGUCAUGUUGGACGAGGGCCCACUCUAUUCCAGUAUGACCUCAACUUAACUAAUUACGUCUGCAACAGCCCUGUUUCCAGUAAGGUCACAUUCUGAGGUAUGUGGGGUUAGGACACCAACUUAGCUUUUAGGGGACACGGUUCAGCCCAUAACAGGAAGUGACUCACCCCAGGUCACCUGGAGGUACAAUCAGAACCCCAGUUCCAAGCUCUGAAUCAUGGCCUGAGCAGCCUCUUAUCCCAAGGGGACCCUGACUUCAACCUCCCCUCACACUUCAAUGAGUCAGAGACCAGCAUGUGGUCACUUUUGUGCCCAGCUGGCCCCUUUGGGUCAGCAGGGCUGGCAUAGCUAUGGGCCCCCACUAUCGUGUCCAGGGACACUGCCCCCAAAGGCGGCCUGGUCAGCUCUUGGGCACUGCCCUCGACUGUGCCAGGUGGAGGCCCCUUUCCACUGUAAGGAGCAGCUCCCUUCCCAACAUCUGGCCAGAUUCUGAGCAUUCUCCACCUGCCAGGCUGGAACCCCACUGGACAGACUGCAACAGGGAAACGACAGCUCUGAAGAAAAUACAAGGGCACCCACAGUGUAACAGAGAAUGAGAGGCACUGCGGGGACAGUGGCCAGAAGGCCUCUCCAUCACAUGCUGGCAGGAGAGGCAGACCAGGAGCAAGCGCACCAACCACUGAUAAUAAACCCAACGAUUUCAUGAAAUGUGCA